rnacentral:rRNA from 1 species
UACGGGGGGGUGCGAGCGUUGCCCGGAAUCACUGGGCGUAAAGGGCGCGUAGGUGGCGUGAUAAGGGUGUGGUGAAAGCCCGGGGCUCAACCCCGGGUCUGCCAUGCCGACUGUCAGGCUAGAGUACUGUAGGGGCAGGCGGAAUUCCGGGGUGUAGCGGUGGAAUGCGUAGAGAUCCGGAGGAAGACCGGUGGCGAAGGCGGCCUGCUGGGCAGUUACUGACACUGAGGCGCGACAGCGUGGGGAGCAAACAGG